rnacentral:rRNA from 1 species
AACGAACGCUGGCGGCAGGCUUAACACAUGCAAGUCGAGCGAGACCUUCGGGUCUAGCGGCGGACGGGUGAGUAACGCGUGGGAACGUGCCCUUCUCUACGGAAUAGCCCCGGGAAACUGGGAGUAAUACCGUAUACGCCCUUUGGGGGAAAGAUUUAUCGGAGAAGGAUCGGCCCGCGUUGGAUUAGGUAGUUGGUGGGGUAAUGGUCCACCAAGCCGACGAUCCAUAGCUGGUUUGAGAGGAUGAUCAGCCACACUGGGACUGAGACACGGCCCAGACUCCUACGGGAGGCAGCAGUGGGGAAUCUUAGACAAUGGGGGCAACCCUGAUCUAGCCAUGCCGCGUGAGUGAUGAAGGCCUUAGGGUUGUAAAGCUCUUUCAGCUGGGAAGAUAAUGACGGUACCAGCAGAAGAAGCCCCGGCUAACUCCGUG